GAAUCACUGGUGCAGUGGUUUGAGCAUUGGACUAUGACUCUGGAGACCAGGGUUCGAUUUCCAGUUUGGCCA
rnacentral:tRNA from 1 species